rnacentral:rRNA from 1 species
UACAGAGGGUGCUAGCGUUGUUCGGAACCAUUGGGCGUAAAGGGCGUGUAGGCGGUUUGCUAAGUCAUGUGUGAAAUCCCUCGGCUCAACCGGGGAACGACGCAUGAAACUGGCAAGCUAGAGUACCAAAGAGGGGGGUGGAAUUCCCGGUGUAGUGGUGGAAUGCGUAGAUAUCGGGAGGAACACCAGUGGCGAAGGCGGUUGCCUGGAGCUUGCUGACGCUGAGGCGCGAAAGCGUGGGGAGCGAUCCGG